GACAUCGACAUCGGACAAGUCAAAAGACAAAAGAAGUUCGGCGGACGAUAAUUUAAUACAACACGCGGACGAGGUAACACAAAAUCUCCUUUUCAUUUCAUUCACAAAAUAUACAUUACAAAGCCCAGCAGGCUAAAGAAAGAAAAACAAAACGACAAGAACAAGACGAAACAACAGAAGAAAAAAUAUAUACAUAGGA
rnacentral:lncRNA from 1 species